rnacentral:rRNA from 1 species
GAUGAACGCUGGCGGCGUGCUUAACACAUGCAAGUCGAACGGUGAAGGCGGAGCUUGCUCUGAUGGAUCAGUGGCGAACGGGUGAGUAACACGUGAGUAAUCUGCCCCUGACUCUGGGAUAAGCGCUGGAAACGGCGUCUAAUACUGGAUACGAGCUGCGAAGGCAUCUUCAGCAGCUGGAAAGAACUUCGGUCAGGGAUGAGCUCGCGGCCUAUCAGCUUGUUGGUGAGGUAACGGCUCACCAAGGCGUCGACGGGUAGCCGGCCUGAGAGGGUGACCGGCCACACUGGGACUGAGACACGGCCCAGACUCCUACGGGAGGCAGCAGUGGGGAAUAUUGCACAAUGGGCGAAAGCCUGAUGCAGCAACGCCGCGUGAGGGACGACGGCCUUCGGGUUGUAAACCUCUUUUAGCAGGGAAGAAGCGAAAGUGACGGUACCUGCAGAAAAAGCGCCGGCUAACUACGUG